rnacentral:rRNA from 1 species
ACAUUGUUUGCAGGCUCAGAUCGUGAUGACAUGGAGCACGACGAAUUGGAAGACUCAAGUCAGAAUACCUAUGUCGACCAUGAUCCAUUGGACUAUGUCUACUCAAACCUCCCAGACCACACACACAUCCUGAAGCACGCCGCAAAUUGCGAUCACUGCAAGGCCAAGAAGUUUGUGUCUGAGGCCCCGGGAUUCUGCUGUCGCAGUGGGCAGAUCCAGCUGAAGCAACCGGAGCCCGUCCCGGAGCUAAUGAGGCUUUGGUCUAGCAUGGAUGCGGACUCAAGGCAUUUUCGGGAGAACAUACGGUUCUUCAACGGCCACUUCUCAUUCACAACCCUCGGCGUCAGCCUUGAUGAAAGCUACACAAACAUGAAGUCUGGGGUGUACACGUUCCGGGCGCACGGCACCAUCUACCACAACGUUCAUUCCUUCGGGCCAACAUCACGUCCAGAUCAUCUACAGUUGUACUUCUACGACGAUGACCCAAGCCUAACCCAUCGCAAGGCUGCCACCGAGCAAUUAGACCAAGAUGUCGUCAGAAAGUUAGUGGACAUACUCAGGGAAAACCCGUACUCCUAG